rnacentral:rRNA from 1 species
UACGUAGGGGGCUAGCGUUGUCCGGAAUCAUUGGGCGUAAAGCGCGUGUAGGCGGCCCGAUAAGUCCGCUGUGAAAGUCCAGGGCUCAACCCUGGGAUGCCGGUGGAUACUGUCGGGCUCGAGUCCGGAAGAGGUGAGUGGAAUUCCUGGUGUAGCGGUGAAAUGCGCAGAUAUCAGGAAGAACACCCGUGGCGAAGGCGGCUCUCUGGGACGGUACUGACGCUGAGACGCGAAAGCGUGGGGAGCGAACAGG